GAAAGGCUAUAACAGUUACAAAUAUAUAUGCACUCAACAUCAGAGCACUUUAAAUGUAUAAAGUCAAUGUUAACAGAACUAAAGGGAGAAAUUGCAAUGUGGUAAUAGUAGGGAACUUUAGUACCCCACUUUCAACAAUGAAUAAAUCAUCCAGACAGAAAAUCAAUAAGCAAACAGAGAUCCUGAUGACCUCUCCUGGCCAUCUGACUGUAGGGUUGUAAGUUCACAGUUGUGAAAUUUAAGAAUGAAAAAGCAGCCCCUGACAGCCAGGAGUGGCCUUGUGCCUUGGGGACAUGCUUUGUACUCUCCUGUUGGACAACUCGGAGAACAUAAACAUCAGACAAUGCCAAUCAUGAUUUAAGACAAAAACGACCCCCCAGUAAUCAUCCAGAGUACAGACAAAACGGGAACAUUGUUCAAGCCACAGAAUCCCCAAUCCCCUCUUCUAGCUAAUGUGAGGGGUGGCUACAUCUUUACCAGUUCUGCCCAGUCUCGUCUUCCCUCUUCCUAAAGGGGAUAUAUUUGAGACCAAAUUGUAAAAUUACUCCU
rnacentral:lncRNA from 10 species